UCAGCUUAUAUUUAUAUUGUCUUUUGGACAACACUUGAUAUACACAUAGCUUUUAGAGCGUAUAUCAGGUGGUCACCUUUUGGGGCGUAUAUUAGGUGGUCACCCUUUGGGGGUAGCUCUGCAUAUGUGUAUGACUAGCAUUUUUAUUACUCUUGGGUUAUUGUUGUGUCAUUAUAGAGCCUAAUAUGCCAAUAUUGCUCUCAGGCUUCCAGAGUUUAUUAUUGCGCCUAAGAUGCCAGCAUUAUCUAUAGGAAGCAUAU
rnacentral:misc_RNA from 1 species